GUCUUGCCACACUGUCCAUCUGGGCUGGGAAUGGGAUUGGGGGCCUAUGACCUCUGAGUCCUCAAUCAAGGAGUGGAACUUGAUCUCCCCCCCCCAAAAAAAGCAAAAAAUAGCUGGUUCAUCACUGCAACUAGCUAAUCACCAUCAGGACCUCUGGUCUUUCCUUCUUUUUCUAACUGCCCUCUCCCUGCAGGAAAAAAGCCAAUCUUCUCAAGAAUCUCCACAGAAACUCUGGCCACAUUCAGACACCAGUUCCUGAGAGAUCUGUGCAGGAGGGCCCAGCUUAUCAGCACUGUCUUUAGAUCCUCAGCUCUGAGAUCUCGGCUGCCUGUCUACUCCCAAGGCCACCUUCCAUUGGACAACAUUUGGUAGCAGAAAGAACUGAAGCAGCACUUGGCAUCCCAGGCCGUGUGGGACAGGGUUCAUAGACAGCGAAAUGUGGUCUGUUACCGUCAGGUGAGGAGAAAAUUGGGUUUCUUGAGACCAGGCUCAUAUUUGAUGUUUGCUCAUCAGAGCCCUCUGAAAGGUAUCAACCGGUCACUCCAAACACCUCCCAAUAAGAAAUAUAAGAAGCACUCUGAAGAAAUCAUUGUUACUAGACAUACCUAGACAACCAUUUCAGCCAAAAUAAUUGAGAAAGACCCACAAAGAGAAGAUGGAUGAAGAGCAACACCAAAAGAGUUCAAAAUCACCUGAAAAGAAGCUAAAGACAGUUGAAUUCAAGAAAAAGAAAUGUGUUAGGUUUCUGUUACCCCAUAAAGCUGACAAGGAAAAGAAAUCCUCUUCCCUAGGAGAAACAGAGGAGUCAAAGUUCAGAUGUGAAUGCCAACACUGCCAGAUGUGUGAGGGGAACACAUCUGGGGUCUCUGUGGGACCUAGGACUGAAGCAGUCUCUCCGUCAUCCUCCUGGGAAAAUCUAACACUAGACCUCAGUAACUUGACACUCAACCCUCAUACCACCCAUCCCCAUCUUGUGCAAGACACCAUAUCCAAAGGAGAGAACAAAAUGCAGUGCCCAAGGAAAAACAAGAGGAUGUUUCAAAAGGUUCUCUACGAAUGGACAGAAUAACUCUGACACUGUCAUCGUCAUGAGAAGGAAGAUCCAAACCUACAGGACCAUGAGUAUCAACAUCUUUUGGGGAGCAACAUCAGGAGGAGUAAUGUCCAACCUGUUGAUAAUAAUACAGCUGGAUCGUGACUCGAAUCUAUUCCACAAAUGUAGCCAUCUUUUCCUUAGUAGUUUAGGCAUCUUCCCUUAGGCACUCUGGGAAGAGAUGUGGUUCUCAGUAAGGACGACCAAAUUGCAAUUUUUCUAUACUCCCCAUGUCAGUGUUCCCAUGGGAUUUGCUACCGAUUUUCCUCUCCUCGGGUUUGAGGUUUUCCUCCUUUACAUUGUUGCCAAUAAAGUUAAAACAUCUAU
rnacentral:lncRNA from 1 species